rnacentral:rRNA from 1 species
UGAACGCUGGCGGCAUGCCUUACACAUGCAAGUCGAACGGCAGCACGGGUGCUUGCACCUGGUGGCGAGUGGCGAACGGGUGAGUAAUACAUCGGAACAUGUCCUGUAGUGGGGGAUAGCCCGGCGAAAGCCGGAUUAAUACCGCAUACGAUCUACGGAUGAAAGCGGGGGACCUUCGGGCCUCGCGCUAUAGGGUUGGCCGAUGGCUGAUUAGCUAGUUGGUGGGGUAAAGGCCUACCAAGGCGACGAUCAGUAGCUGGUCUGAGAGGACGACCAGCCACACUGGGACUGAGACACGGCCCAGACUCCUACGGGAGGCAGCAGUGGGGAAUUUUGGACAAUGGGCGAAAGCCUGAUCCAGCAAUGCCGCGUGUGUGAAGAAGGCCUUCGGGUUGUAAAGCACUUUUGUCCGGAAAGAAAUCCUUGGCUCUAAUACAGUCGGGGGAUGACGGUACCGGAAGAAUAAGCACCGGCUAACUACGUGCCAGCAGCCGCGGUAAUACGUAGGGUGCGAGCGUUAAUCGGAAUUACUGGGCGUAAAGCGUGCGCAGGCGGUUUGCUAAGACCGAUGUGAAAUCCCCGGGCUCAACCUGGGAACUGCAUUGGUGACUGGCAGGCUAGAGUAUGGCAGAGGGGGGUAGAAUUCCACGUGUAGCAGUGAAAUGCGUAGAGAUGUGGAGGAAUACCGAUGGCGAAGGCAGCCCCCUGGGCCAAUACUGACGCUCAUGCACGAAAGCGUGGGGAGCAAACAGGAUUAGAUACCCUGGUAGUCCACGCCCUAAACGAUGUCAACUAGUUGUUGGGGAUUCAUUUCCUUAGUAACGUAGCUAACGCGUGAAGUUGACCGCCUGGGGAGUACGGUCGCAAGAUUAAAACUCAAAGGAAUUGACGGGGACCCGCACAAGCGGUGGAUGAUGUGGAUUAAUUCGAUGCAACGCGAAAAACCUUACCUACCCUUGACAUGGUCGGAAUCCCGCUGAGAGGUGGGAGUGCUCGAAAGAGAACCGGCGCACAGGUGCUGCAUGGCUGUCGCCAGCUCGUGUCGUGAGAUGUUGGGUUAAGUCCCGCAACGAGCGCAACCCUUGUCCUUAGUUGCUACGCAAGAGCACUCUAAGGAGACUGCCGGUGACAAACCGGAGGAAGGUGGGGAUGACGUCAAGUCCUCAUGGCCCUUAUGGGUAGGGCUUCACACGUCAUACAAUGGUCGGAACAGAGGGUUGCCAACCCGCGAGGGGGAGCUAAUCCCAGAAAACCGAUCGUAGUCCGGAUUGCACUCUGCAACUCGAGUGCAUGAAGCUGGAAUCGCUAGUAAUCGCGGAUCAGCAUGCCGCGGUGAAUACGUUCCCGGGUCUUGUACUCACCGC